ensembl:snRNA U2 U2 spliceosomal RNA
AUCACUUCUCGGUCUUUCGGCUAAGAUCAAGUGUAGUAUCUGUUCUUAUAAAUUAACACCUCAGGCAACAACAGAUGUUGGCGAGGAUGCGGAGAAAGAGGAACCCUUU